UACGGAGGGUGCAAGCAUUAAUCGGAUUUAUUGGGCGUAAAGGGCGCGUAGGCGGGGAUAUAAGUCAGAUGUGAAAUCCUGGGGCUCAACCUCAGAACUGCAUUUGAAACUGUAUCUCUAGAGGGUAGGAGGAGAAAACGGAAUUCCACAAGUAGCGGUGAAAUGCGUAGAUAUGUGGAAGAACACCGGUGGCGAAGGCGGUUUUCUAUCUUAUUCCUGACGCUGAAGCGCGAAAGCAAGGGGAUCAAACAGG
rnacentral:rRNA from 1 species